rnacentral:lncRNA from 1 species
UUGUAGUGAUUUAUGCAGCUGUCAAGGGCUUCUGUAUCGAAUGCCACUAGAACAGAAUUUCUGAAUAUGAGAGAGCCAUUCCAAGUAGUAUAGAUCCCGAAUUACUCAAAUCCUUCUUAGAAAAAGGUGGCUUAACUAACGAAAGAAGAUGGAACCAGAAUGCUUCUUUAAAAGAAAGCGCUUUGCCUUACCUGUGAAUUGUAUACAAAGAAAAACGUGAUGAGCGUAGCCUACCUAAAAGAAGUACGCUAUGGUUCGACGGCCAAUGCGGCUUUCUCAUUCUUGUACUAGACCAACCUCUCGAUAUGGNNNNNNNNNNNNNNNNNNNNNNNNNAGUUAUUCUUCAAGGACAAGAGACGCUCUCAACGGCUAGGCGCCACUCACUCUCUUUCUGAGUUAUUCCAGCUUCUUCAUUCUUUCGUGCCGCGGUGAACGAACAAAAAAAAAAAAGAGGGCCGUCUCAGCGGAAGGAGAAGGAUCUGCUACGGCAGAGACUACUUAUCCUCUUCUUGUUCCUAGCCGUCUGUUACAAGUCCGGGAAGCCUGGAAUCAUCAAUAUGAGGGAUCCCUCAAAAUAGAGAAGGGCGGGCAGGGCUUCCGCAAGAGCCUCCCCCCUCUUCCCGGUCAUUAUAGAUGAGGUGGCAUGGCGAGGCGAAGGUCAAGUACUUCGCUUCGUAGACUCGAGACCUCGCUUCUGGCGAAGCUUAACGAAGGCCGACCACUACAUAGAGACAACUACCAGUCAUGAGCGAGAGCUUUGCCCAGAGAGGCGCAGGGCAGAAUCGAAGAGCUUAGUGUGAAAGGCUCAGGAAAGGAGCGGAGAAGGGGAACCCUCCGCCCCUUCGGUUCGGGGUGGACAUCUGAUAAAGGUGAGAUAAACGGAAGAGUAGCGCGCUAGCGCGGCUCGCUUCGCUUUUCGACGCGGAGCUCGCAGCUUCACUUCAAAGCCAGCAAACUCCAGCAUCAAAGCUGGAGUGCCUUAGCCCUUGAGUUUUGAAGCUUCAAAAGAAGGCUAACCUUUUUUGACUUGCUUUUUUGCGCUUCAAAACAAUAAGAAAUUGCGCGCCAAAGCUACUAAGUAGACGCGCCCCAAAACGCACUGUCGAAGCCUACGCUUGCAGCUCCCCUUCCGAGAGGCGAAGGGAUUGGAUUUCUUUCACCUAUGAUCAGGCAACCAACGUGUACUUUUUCGUCUUGUUGUUUGUUGUUGACGUUGACUUUCAAGCUCAUUUUUGAGUAGGCCGGGAUUUUCGGAGCUGCUCCCAGCUCACACAAUGGUGGCGGAGGUGCCGCCGUGAAGAUCUAGGAGUGUGAGCAGUACGAGCUGAAAGGCUCUCAUACUGUUUGGAGGGCAGGGGGCAUAGAUGCCAAACCUGACCCCUAUCUAUCGUCGUAGAAGCUGUUCCUUUGAAAGAUUAUGGUUCUCGGGUAUCCAAUCAAUUCAUCCUCCAAACCGGGGAAGCUUCAGCGGAAAUGAAAUUGUAGGGUUCGGGAAGGGGGAAGCUCCAGGAAGGCUUCGCUCUAACGCUCGUUUACGAGUGGAGUGCAUAAGCCCUUAUUGAAGUAGGGCGAGGCCUUACUACACGAGCUCGUAAGUCAAGCACGGAACGAGCCUUGUCUACGAAGCUUCGCUUCCUCAUCUUGCUUGCUUCUGGCGAAGCUUAACGCACUAUAACAUAGGCAUGAUGGUAUGGUAGGAAGACUCCUUUUAAGGCCGACCACUACAAUUGAGCGAUAGCGAAGCCAAGCCGUCAAAAGGCGAGCAGCCCUUAUAGCAAUAGCAAACGGCCUACUUAUAGCCCUAUUUAUCCCCGGCACUUUAUUCGGGGACUGAAACGGGCCUUACAAGCUCAUCAAAUUGCAAUUCUUCACCUUUUCCUCAUACAGUUGGAAUGAAUUCUAUUACUUGAUUGACAUUGACAGAUAUGUGUACCACACCGAACAAGCAAUAUGCCGAUAUGCUUGAUGUACCAGCCAAGCCAGCUCGACCGUAUACAGUAUUUUUGAUUCGCCUUUGCCUCAGACAGAAGAACAACGGAUUGAACAGGACAGGACAAGCGGGAAGCCUGACAUAGAUAUAGAUUUGAACAAAGGAACUUUAACCGGUACCAAAAAAUAGAGAUGGAAUUCCAGAUUGAACAGAUGACCGACCUACAAUAAGACGAAAAUGGAAUUCUCAAUUCCAUUCUCUAAGACGAACUAAAGGGAUGUCUCUAAGCAGCCAAGGCCAAGAGCAAGCUAGGAGUAGCCUAGAAGGAUUCGAUAAAGAGAAUGUGAGUGGGCAGGAGAUCAAUAGACACAGAAAGAGAAGACCAAAAGGAGCAGAAGGCACUCAGUUGUUUAUGUGAAAUCAAGGAGCAGCAGGUUACACUUUGCCACUUUCCCGAAGAGAGCUCGAAGCAAUUUCAUGAAAGAUGAGAAAUGCUAGUAGAUGAAAGAUGGGAUGAGAUGCUAGCCUUAGCGCAGAAGAUCAAUCAUUGAGCCUUAGGCCACUACCGAGCAGCAAUGGAGGAUCAUAACACUUGAGAGAUGAUCCCUACUUGAAAAGGCGGAGACAAUACCUCUUGUUGCGACAAAUCUUUUUUCAAAAGCCCAAUAGUUGGCGGAGGGCACGCCGGUACAAAAAAGGAGCCAUCAGAAUCAGACCCGUUUUGGUCUCCUUUUUCACAAUAAACAUGGGCUGAUGACAUGGUUUCUUAGAGGAUUCCUUAAUCAACCAAAACCUGCAACAAACAGAGUCCUGUCUUUCUACCACUUACAAGUUGAGAGAUCUUCCAUUCCCAAUGGCAGAAGAAGGAUGCAAGCUGGAAGGACUUGGACAAGAUAUUCUGAACUUGGACAGGAGAUGCAGCGCGCUUAGCGUCGGACCCUCUACAUGGGUGUGUGUGCUAUAAAACAAGGAGAAGAACAGAACUAUACGGAUCAAUUCACGGUCCAAACGAGCUUCCAGUUCUUCUGGAUUGCUAACGUGGUUCGAUGAGGCCUCUGGAAGGAACCACUGGAGAUUCAUCCUACUUCGAUCCCCUAAAGGCAAGUGCGUAGGCUAUAGAAUCCCAAAUAGAGCUCCUUCGGCUCUAAACAGCUACUGUGCUUAUUUGGUCUAUCAGCUACUCGGCCUGCUACUGACCUAAUUGGGAGCUUUUCUGUCAAGGUCGUCGGAUUGUGAGGUCCUUUCGCAAGGGUCCAGAUCAUUCCAUUGGGGAGAAAGCAGGAGUGAUCCAUAGUUAUUUCUUUCUAGUACCAGUGGCGUGACGGAUGAAGACGGGGAGUGACCGGGUUAUAAGUCGGGCAGCAGUGUUCUCACUUCCAGGAAGACCUACAUCUGGGAAGGGAGCGGCAGAAAGAGGUGCUUCUUCCCCUCUCUACAGUGCAGGUUCUAAGUCUUAUACUUGAUGGUCUUAAAGGCUUCAUCCCCAAAGGAGAUUACGCCUUUAUGAGCUUUGGGUUGUUCGCAACCCUCAGCUCUAACCAGAAAGUCAGUGCCCACCCAACAGAUAAAAGUCUGGAAGACUUAGGUUAGAUUCCAAGAUUGGUACUUGGAAAUCCAAACCUCUUUGACCCACCAUAUCAUAAACUUUCCACAAUAGACCGAAACGAACCAAUUUUUGAUCGCCACCAUUUUCGGUUUACAACUGUCAAAGAAAUCUUGGAUGGUUACCUCUGGUGAAAGUGCGGUACCAUAAUACCAUUUACAGUAUUGUAGCCACUGCUUCAUCCACCCCCGGAGAGUAGUCCACUCCAAGAAGUCCUUCACUGGACCAGCUGCAAACAUCUGGUCCGGUAUCAGAGACAACUGUUGUGGUUUCAUCUCUUUCCUAAGAAAGUCGAUGAUCAACCCACUGAGGUAAGGAUUUAGAGGUCGUCCCCGACCCAACCAAAAUUGGAAAGGUAGAGAACGACGUGUGUACAUCACAUAGACCCUAAUGCAGGUUUCUGUGAUGAUCAAUUCGACCAAGGAGCCGGAAUCCGGCACCACCUACCCGAGCUAAGGUGGAAAACCUUUUGCAAGGGUAUUUAUCCUGAAUGGACAUAAGUCCAAAGGGAUGGUAAGAAUUCAGAAGAUUUCUGACUGACACGGGACUCAAGUCCACGGUCAAGUCCCGAACUCUGAACUUCUUGGCGAAUUCAGCAGCCCCUUUAUCAGAAAUAAGGGAUUUUGCGUACGAUAUUUCCCUAAUUCCUUAAGAGACUGCUCAUACACACUGGCAACCUUCCUGCCGGCGAUGACAAUAUCAUCACCGAGUACACCGUACCUUUGGAAGUUCUCACCAGGGUACACUUGUUCUGCACACCACCACACCAAAAGAUGGUGAGUUAGUGCAAACAACGGCCAAGAGGCAUGAUAUCCCAAGGGUUGUCCAGCUACGAAACUUACUGAGGAAUACUUUCUUUUUACAAAAGGAACCUCAAAUAAAUUGUAGCCUAAGGUUGAAUUCACAACCGAGGACGCAAAACCCCUGUCUUUGAGAGCGCACAUCGUUUCGAACAUAAAAACUAAAGGCCACCUAUCGGUUGCCGACUUUAAGUCGAACGAGUAACACUCUCUUUGGCCAACUAGGUUAUCCAACGGUUUUUCCUGACAGAAGGUUCCAUCUGUAGGUAUCUUCUUCAGGACUUCCAUGAGCCAUUUAUGAAUUGGCCUAAGAAGCCUUUGCUUUGAUUGAUAUAGUUACCAAUGGCAAAUAUCCGCCUUUUGCCUCCAGACUCGACAGUCUGACCUAAUCGGCCUGCGAGUGGUGGGCACUGGGUUUCUUCAGGAUCAGGUAAAUGCGGACCUAUUCUACGUUCAAAGUAGUCUAAGUCCGAACCUGUGAACAUUUUAUUGUUAGGAUCCAAAGCAUACCGAGUGCAACGCGGCCACAAACAUCCUUGGGACCACUGUUGCCCAAGAGCAUGAGUCGUAGUCAGUAAAAACUGAAAGAAAGCUCAUAGGCCAAAGAGGUAUGAACCGACUUGAUAAUCCUCUUUGCAGUGGACUUAAGAUGUGCAGCCACCCAACCAUGGGUUGGUAGUGCCUUAUAGGUCGGCUCCCAAGUCAUCCCUUGUUCAAGAGGGAUGGAUUGGAUAGAAGGAACGUACCUGAGUAUGAGAGUAGGGAUCAUCUCCUUAACUUUACAUACAAAGGUAUAAACCCUAUCUAUGUCAGAGACAGGGGUUAUAAUAGAUUCGAAAGUCUUUUUCGUUAUUUUCUUUGCCAAAGAAAGCAGAAAGAUCAUAAGUCUCAGACGCAACCGGAGAAUCAGUUGUGUCAGACGCUAUUUCAGAAGUAGAAGAGGAGUUGGGCCCUGAAGAAGAUGAUAUACAGAGUCAUCCGAAGUGGAAUCUGCUGAUCCAAGGCUAGGUAACGGAGCUAAGCUCAACUCGUGUUGGGGCAUUAGAAGCGCUUUUUACUUACUUAACUUAAGCGCAUAGAAUACACAUUGAGGUUGGGAAACCUCCUUCCCGCGGGGUAGCACAGGGAACUUGCUGAAUAAACUCCUUUGAAUCUCUGGCCUGACUGAGGGUCAAUCCUAUGGUAACCUCAACCGUUGAAUGCCUCUUUCACUUCCUUGACAGAGCCAACUGAGAUGCUCCGUCUCGAUGUUGACCUAACAUGGAUUAGCAAUUAAUAAAGGUCUCAUCCUGAUCUCGCAAAGGAUCAGCAAUAGCUGUGUGUACUCGAGGACCAUUAGGGAAAGAAAAGCACUUUUCUCUCUCAGCAGUUAGACCGGGGGUGGGUUGGUUAUAUACUGCGCCUUCCUUCUUCGAACCUUUUGGUAUGUAUUGCCCCCUAACUAUAGAUCAGAUCCACCGGANUGUAUACUCCUAUAUCAUCAUGACUCAUGAGGUGUGCGUUAUCAUGCUGAUAAGUUAUCAGAGAAGGUAUAGUCUUAUGGUGAGCUAUAUAUUAUCAUGUUGUUCAAGGUUGUAAAUAACGAAUAGCUGCUACAUAGCAUUUGGGGGUGUCACUUCCCGAGGUUCUUUUGAAAAUCCUUUUUAGGGAAGCUAGUUGAAAACGUGUAAUUUUUUUUUUUUUAACACCUUUGAGAACACCCCACCAGUGUUUUAAAUAGUGGCCGCUAUGCCCGCCAUAGCAGCCGCUAUAGUGGAUUUUAUGUGUUACCGUCACGCUAUAAUAUGUAAAGCGGUAUAUAGCGGAUCAGAUUCAUAGCGGCCGCUUUAGCGGCAUAGUCGCUAAAGCGGCCGCUAUAAAGCGGUUGGAAAGAGGGCGCUAUGAGCCCAAACCUUUAAAAAGUACAAACGAAUUAAAAUAGCUUACUGGGUCGGAUUUUUAAAUGAAAUAUAAAGAACAAACUCUAUUUCUAAGGGUUUGGAAGAUAAUUAUUUACCUAAGAUAUUCUUUUUGACAUCCAUUAACAAAUUAUUUAGAUUGUUAAUGGAUUAUAAAUUUUCAAGUUUUAUGUCUUUUUGUUUUGCUAAAUAUUUUAAAGUUAAUCUUAAAUUUUUCAUGGAUAAUGACAUUAUAUAUAUAUAGGCUUGCAAUACUAAAAAAAAAGAAUAAUUAGUUGUCUUUUCUUCAAAAUUAUAUGUAUGUUUUAUAAGAAAUAUAAAUAUAUUAAAUUUGCUUUUAUGAAACCCACUAUGGGUUCAUAGUGCCCGCUAUGGCGCCCGUUAUUCGCUUUUCGCUAUGAGACUCUUCAAACGCUAUAUACCUUCUAUCCGCUAUUUACAACUUUGCACCCCGCGGACGCACACAGACUCGCCACAUGGACAAAGGGUCUCCUGUAUAGAUGGACAGAGUCUCCCUUGUACAUGCACGGCAUAGCAACUCAAAACAUAGUCAACCACACAUACAACCACAUAACACAAAUAACGUAAUGAUCAUAUGAAAAUUAUGAUUAACAUACAUUAGAUAUAUUUAAACAUUUCCAGGUAAAGAACUAAACUAAUUCAACCGAAAGAUAGUAAACGUCAACAAUAGACGGAUCUGAAACGCGGCUACCUAGUAUCGUCCUCACGCAUCAUCCUAAUCCUCACUGCCGCGUGACCUGAAAAAUGGUGGGGGUGAGAACAUGUAAAUAUGUCUUCCCUCCCAGUGGGUAUUGCAAGCCGACGAAGGUGAGGCCUACUCAUCGGCAAAGAAAGAGAUAAACAUAAUCAUGAACAUAUAUCAUAAGCACAAUAGCAAUGAGAUAAUAACAGACAAUAAAUGCGAAAAUACCGCUACUGAGCAGAAAACAACUAGGCAUAAUCAACAGGUAUACUGGAAUAGUAGCAAUAAAGGCUAGGAAGGAUUUACAACUUUCAAUCAGUAUGUAACUAUCUGCUACUGUAACUAACCAUAAAACGUACCAAUGCAUCAACUGGGUGAACAAAACGAACAACUAAAUUCACUGUCGUAUUGGUCGAAAGACUUCAGGCUAAACCACAUCCUGCUUGCCUACCUGGCAUAUAACCCUAACAGGCACCUCGUAGGGCUCACGGGUCAGAAGAACGACCCUUUUCGGAAAAAGAACAUCCUCUUGCGGUGGAUCAGAUCGCUGGUGUACGUGAAGAUGCUCACGAGUUGUGACAAUCAAUGCAAUAUGCUCAAUGGCCAACAUCGGCAUGUAGCCCAGAGAAUAAACACAAGAAGUCACCGACCAAUCAGAUCCAUUUCUAUUUAAGAGUGUCACCGACCAUAAGGUCAACAAUAUCAAGUCAUGCAAUAGACCACUAGGGAUGUCACCGACUACAAAGGCAACUAAUGUCAAAUAAUGUUAUGUAUGAAUAUGAGUGUCACUGACUAUAAGGUCAAUUAAUGUCAUAUCAUCUACUAUGAUCAUGCCAAAAUAGAAGUUCCACCGACUGCAAGGUCAACUAAUGUCAAACCAUACAAUAUACUACUAAGGGAUCAUCGACCACAAGGUCAACCAUAUCAAACCAUGCGACAUACAGGCGGGAGUGCCACCGACAUCAAGUCAACUAAUGUCGCAAUAUGCAACAUACAUCUAGGAGUGUCACCAACCACUCGGUCAACUAAUGUCAAAACACAAAGUAGAUGACUACGAGUGUCACCGACUAUAAAGUCAACUUAUGUCAAAUCUACAAUAAGUGUCGCCGACUAUAAAGUCAACUAAUGUCAAGGUCAUCUACUAUGAACAUACCAUGGGUGACUAAAUCAUCAGGAACACCAUUCUACUACUAGAUCAUGACUAUAUGAAAUAGGAGUAAGUGUAGAGCGCUUAACUACGAAGUCAAGUGAUGUAUGAAAGCUCAACCAACAUCAAGUAAAUGGAAGGAGAUAACAAGGAUAGAAAUCACCGAGUAGGUACCACUUUACCGACUUCGGAUCGAAGUACCCACCUCUACCGAAGAAUAAAACUAGGUCGUCGACACCCGUCGAUGUCUCCCGCCACAGUCCGGACCUAUGCAAAGUCCCACAAAAAACGUAAUUAGCUCAAACCCGUUAAUUACAUAAGCUAUGGUUUCAAGUGAAACCAACCGGCGAGCAAUCGGGUUUUCAGAUCCCGUUCCACGGUUACCGAAAGAUCGCCCGAUUGUCGCACCAACUUGUCAGAAUGUCAUCCCAAUCCAUGGGGCAUUCCAAAACAAGUCCCACACAAAGUCUACCUCGUUCGCUGUCCCAAUGCAUCAAUUUAACGCCAUUGGGGCAGCCGCACAAAUAGUGCGUCAAAACGAAAAGCCGAGAUCCUGGCAAUCAUCGGUUUGGCUCCCGGGGUGCCCCUUUCGGCACGGGAGCCACCCGCAGCUAUCUUGCUGCCACCAGAGGUGUCACACCUCACCCCAACACUAGCCAAUAAGGCUACCACACAGUUGCAAACAGUAGCAACUAGCGCGAUAUGAAAUCACUCCCUAAAUCGCUCGAUUUUCGCGUUUCGGCUUUCCGUUAAGCCACGAACUGUUCUGAGAUACUUCAAAAUUUAUUCAACCAUCCUCGCUGUCCCAAAACACUCACUUUUGGGUGUCGGGACAGCCGCAAGUUGUACUAUCCGAAUGCGAAAUCACCAAAACCCGUUGUACCCGGUUCCCGGAAGUCAUCAUUUUUGACUUCGGAACCCACCUAGGGUCCAUCGCUGGUCUAUGCGUCGCACCGGCGAGGUCCUAACAAGUCCACGAGGCUUCCUUACUGCUGCCAUCAAUAGCCAAGACUGCUCUGCGAAGACGAAGUUGAUAAGACCUACACAAUGCACCAAACUCGACAUUUUAAGUGUCGAUCGCGAUGAAAUCCCAAUUGAGGGACUUCUGGACGUUGAACAUCAAGUUCGAACCGUUCACGCAAGAUCCUAUGUUGUCCGGGACAUCAAUGACGCAAUAAGGGUCACUGCGGCAUUUCGCCGAACAGCUAACAUGUGAUCAACAAGGUAAUGAAGAUGGUUAAGAAAUUUACCGCUGAAUCUGCGACUUUGCAAACCAAACCAGGGUACAGGUCAGAGGGUCUUGGUGUGCUGGAGACCAUGCUUGCUGUUUGGAGAGAUUUCGACCAUCAAGGAGGAAGUUACAGCAACUUGACUGCUGAGCCAAAAGGAUCCUCGGGGAGCGGCAUUGAAAUUACAGCAACCAGAGGCCUCCCGAUAGUAAUUAGCAUGAGCACAGCAUUCAACAGACUCUCUAGAUGACCGUGCUCCCCCGCGACAAAGUCCUCAGUGUCCAGAUUUGCCAGAUCUGCUAGAUCUGGGACCUCGGCUCAAAUAGGACCUAAGAAGAAGCCCAAAUAGAGCAGUAGAGCAAUGGUGCUCCUUCCUCAGCCCCCCCGCCUGGCCUUGCGUUGUCGGCGCCGGCCCUAGAACGUGGGCCCCGACUGGAGAGGGCCCUCAGAUGCGGUGGUCGGCGGCGGAGACAGUGGCGGUAUGGCGGCGCCGGAUCUAGAGACUCGACGGCAACCUCUCAUGAUCUCGAGCUCGGGCUCGGGCUCGGGCUCGGGCUCGUGCUCAAGCUUGGGAUAGGGGAGGUCCGGGGGCAGCAAGGUCGAGAAGAGGGUCAUCCAACCUGCCAAAGGCUGGCUGCGGCGCUGGCGGCCGGGGCACGCCCUAAGAGUACGGGGAAGCCCGGAAGAGGGACUCACACAAGAAAGGGAAGGGGAGAGAGAGAGAGAGAAGAGAGAGCCCUCUUUGCCAGGCUCCUCGCUGGCCGGGGAAAUGGCCGGCUGCCGAACAGCACGGCGCGGCAGCGCUGGGUGCAGAGGGUUCACAGGCUAGGGCUUCCUCCACCCUAAUACAUAGCCUAAACGCAUAUACAUACAUAUACACUAAUAUUAUAUUAUAUGUAGUAGUGUAUAUAUACAUAUAUAUAAUAUGUGUUGCAAAAAUGCCCCUAAUGUUCAAUCUCUCCACCCAGUCCGUAGCCAACAUGCGACAAAUGCACCUAGGCCCUAUCUCAAUACCAACUUGUGUGCUUAGAUACCCGAAAACUGCGUUUCAGUUCAAAAAGCCUCUCAAUCACGAAACUCUCUCACGACAUCAUCUCAAUGCCAUAUUGCACAAGAAAAUCCGAAUUCCGCAAAAUUUGAGACAUAAACUCCUCUCCGAGUCAACUUUCAUGUAGAACCUUCCACCCACCAAAACUAUGAAAUUUCUCGCAUAAAAUGAUAACCUCCUCGCAAAGUGCUCAAUUUUGACACUUUGCAAAAAUAGCAAAAUAGCACUCCAAUCAUUGAAUUUUGUUUCAAAAACUCACCAGUGAGUGUAAUAUGCCCAGUGGCACCGACCCAUGGAUUUUCACGCAAAACGGAACAUCGAACACUUCUAAAAAGCAAGAACAUCGAGUAAUCAAAGGCCAAUCUGCGAUAAACUCUGAUUUUCUCGAAAUCGUGCUUCGAACAUGAAAUCGGGCAGUGCCAUCGCCUCCGGCAUAGCUGAACCAUCGAAAAUGACCUAUUGGGUCGUCCGAAAUGGAGUCCGAUUCACAUCCGAAUCCAUCCUGAAGGCGAUGCCUCAAUAGAAAACAUAGGUUACUAUUCACUUAAGUGAAUAGUAAAAAAUCACUGAGCACCUUUAAUAAAAGCUUGUUUUUCUACGUAAUUAAACCUAUAAUUUCAAAAUUAAAGUAUUUAUAAAAACACCACUGAAAAGCAUCAAAAUACCUCGUGAAAAUCUCAGUCCUCCCAAGGGGGUAUUAAAGCGGAUAGCAAAUAGCGGAUAGCGGGCGCGGCUGCUAUGAACCCAUAGCAGCCUCUAUGGAUCCAUAGCGGGAUUCAUAAUAAAUCAUUUAAAUGUUUAUAUUCUUAACUGUACUUAUAUUUAAAAUGAUAGUAAUACUGUAUCAGUUCCAAAUAUAGAAGUAUAUCACUUAUAUUCCAGAUAGUAUUCCUAUUUGGCAUAGUGAUCCUUCAUAGCCGUGGUGAUCCUUAAUGGUCAUUGAUACAUUUGUUUUGUCGCCGUGUUGUGUUGCACGCCACAUGAAUAAAAUCAUGAUUUCCUAGAAUUAUUUUUUAAGCUUGUAGUGACUUUAGAACCUAACCAACCUAUCGAAUCUUUAGAAAAUUGAGGUAAAAAAAUGAAAAUGCUUUUUGUCCUGUUGUAGCGGCCGCUACGGACGCCAUAGCAGUCACUAUGAUCCCAGUCGGCUAUAUUUAUGAUUUUAAUAGUAUAGCGCGAUUAUGCAUUAAGCCACUAUAGAAGCCGUUAUACCGGGCCAUAACGGCUGCUAUUUAGAAACUGACGUUGUUAUCAGAAAAUGCAUAGAUCUAGUCAUAAUGAUUUACACAGUGAUUGCAAAAAUAAUAAUAUGAUUUUUGCUGCUUUCUCACCACAACAAACUUGCCUUUUAGUAGCAAUUAUUCUAUAAAUUAGUUGUGAUUAUAAUCACCGCCUAUUCUCUUUACCGGCAAGGUACUAAUUGCUGCUAUAGAUGGGCUCGGUAAAAGUCCUAGUGGCAAUUAUGUUGGUUGCUGAUAAAGGUCUCAACAAUUGUUGUUAAAUUUAUAUUAUACAGACAAUUAUAAAUGCCGCUAUAAUCAACCAAAAUCACUACCAAGUACUUAUCAAGCAUUUAUUGAAAAUGAAUUAUUGUGACAAUUAUAAUCAUCAACUGAAUGUUUCUUCAUUACAGUAAAAAAUGCGAAACUAUUAGACCAAUAAUUAACAUGCAAUUUGUCUUAAAAUAGUCACAAAUCUGCCCUAAAAAAAUUAUGUACAACAAAAGCUCAUAAUGUUCAAUCUAUACACAAUAAAUCAAAAUACGAUAAUAUCGAGCAACAAUUAGUCCAACAAAGAAAAAGUCAAAUUUGCAUCAAAUAAACUCCUAUUUUCUCAUCAAGUAAAAGAAAUAACGAGGGAAAAAAAUCUAAUCCUGAUUCCAGCCUUGUAACAUUUCCCAAAUCUUCUGACUCCACUGUUUCCAGCAGCCUCUGCAACGAAGAACGGAAAAAGGAGAUGAUUCAGUAAGCCAACCGACCUUAAUCUAUUGUUAUGUCAAACUGAAAACUGAACGCAGUAGAUCCUUAACUAAUAUACCAAGUUACAUGGUAGGCAAUACAUCCUCCAAAUCUAGAUAUGAUCAUCAGAAUUUGAUGAAUGGCCAAAAAUUUGCUGCAAAAAGUAGUGCGGUGGAGAAAAAGA